GACGAACGCUUGCGGCGUGCCUAAGAAAUGCAAGUCGAACGGGGGCUUCGGCCCCAGUGGCGAACGGUCGCGUAACACGUAAGCAACCUGCCCUGAAGUGGGGGACAACAUCCCGAAAGGGGUGCUAAUACCGCAUGUGGUCACGAGUCGGCAUCGACUUGUGUCUAAAGAUUUAUCGCUUCAGGAUGGGCUUGCGGCCUAUCAGGUAGUUGGUGGGGUAAUGGCCUACCAAGCCGACGACGGGUAGCUGGUCUGAGAGGACGAUCAGCCGGAUUGGGACUGAGAUACGGCCCAGACUCCUACGGGGGGCAGCAAUUAGGAAUCUUGCGCAAUGGGGGCAACCCUGACGCAGCGACGUCGCGUGAAGGAUGAAGGCCCUCGGGUCGUAAACUUCUUUGAGUGGGAAGAAACCCUCGGGUCGUAAACUUCUUUUGAGUGGGAAGAAAUUUGACGGUACCACUCGAAUAAGCCCCGGCUAACUACGUGCCAGCAGCCGCGGUAAUACGUAGGGGGCGAGCGUUGUCCGAAGUUACUGGGCGUAAAGCGCGCGUAGGCGGUUAUUUAAGUCUGGGGUGAAAGGUUCAGCGCUCAACGUGAACAGUGCCUUGGAUACUGGAUGACUUGAGUCUGGGAGGGGGAAGGGGAAUUCCUGGUGUAGCGGUGAAAUGCGUAGAUAUCAGGAGGAACACCGGUGGCGAAGGCGCCUUCCUGGCCUAAGACUGACGCUGAGGUGCGAAAGCGUGGGGAGCAAACGGGAUUAGAUACCCCGGUAGUCCACGCCGUAAACGAUGAGUGCUAGGUGUCGGGGGUAUCGACCCCCCCGGUGCCGUCGCUAACGCAUUAAGCACUCCGCCUGGGGAGUACGGCCGCAAGGUUGAAACUCAAAGGAAUUGACGGGACCCCGCACAAGCGGUGGAGCAUGUGGAUUAAUUCGUCACUAACCGAAGAACCUUACCCAGGUUUGACAUCGAGGGUAAGACCAUGAAAGUGGUUCCUCUAGCAAUAGACCCGAAGACAGGUGUUGCAUGGCUGUCGUCAGCUCGUGUCGUGAGAUGUUGGGUUAAGUCCCGCAACGAGCGCAACCCUCACCGUAUGUUGCCAGCGUAAAGUCGGGAACUCUUACGGAACUGCCCGUGCAAGCGGGAGGAAGGUGGGGAUGACGUCAAGUCGGCAUGGCCCUUACACCUGGGGCUUCACACAUGCUACAAUGGGCGUCAACAGAGGGGUGCAAGGCCGCGAGGUCAAGCAAAUCCCAAAAAUACGUCCUCAGUUCGGAUUGCAGGCUGCAACUCGCCUGCAUGAAGCUGGAAUCGCUAGUAACCGCAGGUCAGCUAUACUGCGGUGAAUACGUUCCCGGGGUUUGUACACACCGCCCGUCAAGUCACCUGAAUUGUCUGCACCCGAAGCCGGUGGCCUAACCGUAAGGAAGGAGCCGUCUAAGGUGUGGGGAGUAAGGGGGACU
rnacentral:rRNA from 1 species